UUCAUUUUACAAGCUAGAGAUGAUCAGAAUUCAGUUAAUUUCUUCCAAUGGGAAUCAGAUCUUUGUUGAGUUAGAUGAUUUUAGGAGAGCUAGGUCUGAUGCAAUUGUACAUUCAGCUGCCAAAAUAAUAUCUCGGCUUAAAGCUGCUGGAGAGAAGACUAUGCAGGCGCUUAGAUCUCUCUGUUGGAGAUGCAAGGGAAUUCAAGUGGAGGAGGUGUCUCUGAUUGGUGUGGACAGCCUUGGUUUUGACUUGAGAGUUUGCUCUGGAACACAAGUCCAAACACUUCGGUUUUCAUUUAGAAAGCGGGCCUCAUCGGAGUAUAGUGCUGAAAGACAACUUAAUGAUCUACUGUUUCCCAGGAUCCACCACAAGUCGCGCCAAAAGAAAGAAAGUCAGCAAGCUGAAUCAUGAAAAACUGAAGACACAAGUCUAUUUAUUCUCUAGAUCUUGUUGUACGACUUCUGACUCAGAAUUGUACAUAGCAUGUAGUGAGUGUGUGAUCGAUUACAUCG
rnacentral:misc_RNA from 1 species